AUUGAACGCUGGCGGCAGGCCUAACACAUGCAAGUCGAACGAGUGGCGGACGGGUGAGUACUGUCUGGGAAACUGCCCGAUGGAGGGGGAUAACUACUGGAAACGGUAGCUAAUACCGCAUACCAUCGGAUGUGCCCAUGUGGGAUUAGCUAGUCGGUGGGGUAACGGCUCACCUAGGCGACGAUCCCUAGCUGGUCUGAGAGGAUGACCAGCCACACUGGAACUGUGACACGGUCCAGUCGCCUACGGGAGGCAGCAGUGGGUAAUAUGGGACAAUGGGCGGAAGCCUGAUGCAGCCAUGCCGCGAGUAUGAAGAAGGCAGUCGGGGUGUAAAGUACUUUCAGCGAGGAGGCGUUACUCGCAGAAGAAGCACCGGCUAACUACGUGCCAGCAGCCGCGGUAAUUC
rnacentral:rRNA from 1 species